UUGGGAGUCACCUGAGUCGGUGCAGAGCUGAGUGUCAAUAUGACCAUCGUGGUAAUUGAAUUGGACCGGAAAUUGUUCAACGUCUGGUGUCGACGGUGGCUGAAAAAUGUAUUUUAUAUCGUCAGCAAAUUGACAACGACGACAUUGUGGAAAGUAACACAGACUUUAACUAGCAAACGCAUCGUGAUAACGCCAUGUUUUCCAACUACCAGCUCUACGAUAUGGUGAACAAAAGUUUAUAAUUUUAAUCGAUUAAGAAGACCGUUUUUAAGGAUCUCCUUGGUUUCAUCUGCACCACGAAAUCGCUGCCACUGUAGUUGAUAUGAUUUGUUGACAUGAUCAAAAUGUUUCAAAUGAUUCGAUUUAGUAAAGCGUAAGAGGACAAAUUGGAGCGAUGUCACCCCAAUUUCAAUCUAUUCAAAAAUGUCACUGCGCACAAUCCGUGCAUAACUUUGCCGGUCGACGCGUCAUUAACAUAUCCCGGCUAUCGGAUGGGGCUCUCUACACUUAACGUUGCUCUCUGGUAUCGUCGGUAUCUAGAAUAUUGUUUUGAUAAUGCGCGUUUCAUAUGUUUGCCGAGGGUCUGCUACAACGAAGUUCCCGUUCAAUUAGCAUCAACGCUGGUAGAACAUAUUUGCGAAUCGAGAAUGGUUGCUACAUGAUGUAGUACGAAUUGAAAAUCGAAAACGAAUUAAAUAAGGAAGUAAAGCAUCGAAAGCAAAGCGGAGAAAUUGGAACGGUGAGCGAUGUGAAUGGUGAAAAGAUAAAACAUCAUCUUUUGUAACGAUAAAGGUAAAUUAUAUUAUUAGGAUUAUAGUAUUAUUACUUUUGUUUUAUAUUAUUUUGCCGAAUUACGUACGAUCCAUUUUGUUCUGUUGAGAUAAACACCGCGACAUUUCACAGACUUGAUUUCACGUUUGUAUAAAAGUGCACUGUUGUAAAAAACACGUUUGCAAAAGAAAGAUACUUCUCGGACAACCUAAUAUAUAGAUCUCAUAACAACUGAAAUGUCGUAUCCAUAAUACCAUUUCGAGAAAUUUUGUCAUUUUCUUUAUGACUUCUUCAUUUUUGCAUAUUCAAAUUUUUCUAAAUAUCCGCAGCGUAUUCAUCAAGAAACCUUACUUUAAAUAUUUCUAACAUUUCGUUUAACUUGAAAGUAAUAAAGAAAAACCUUUUAUAUUUUGAAGCAUGCGUCGAGUACAUGUAAAAGGCUCCCCGAAAAGAAUUCUUUUCCGAUAUCUCGCCUAUGAUUUUGAUUUAUAAACUUGUAACCUCAUUUAGCGUGUUACGUGAAAAUCGAACUCGAAUAGAAUUAACAUGCGACCAACUUUGUUAUUAAUAAGCCGCGUGUGACUAGCUUAGAAGUGAUAACACCGUGACCGUUGCUCCAUCCAGAAAAAUGGAAAAAUGCCAUUCGAGUCGAGAGUCCAUUCUGGUUCGGAGUUCUUCCUCAUCUCGGAACUUUAUUAGACUUCCAUAGAAAACGAGUUUCUUUUCGAUAGAGCGUUACACAGUAAGGACUAUGGAAGGUGUUAAAAAAGGUGAAUGAUAAUUAUUUACAGAUAAUUAAAAAAAUCCAUAUAUACGAAAACAAGUCAGCCAACCUAUCUUCGUUUCUAUUUCACUCACUCCUUUUGUUUUUUACUCUGAACUUAACGAAUCGAAACAGCUGACAACAAGAUUAAAAGCUCGAACAAGGACCUAAAGAACAUUUAGCAGAUUUUGGGAUUUUUAAGUUACACUGUUUCAUAACUCUCAAACCUACAGUGUGUUUCUUGUGUUCGAUACGCUUUCUCACGAAAUAUCUGCAACCUGUAAAAUGAUCAAGUGCUAUACUAGAACUAUGUUGUUAAUUCGACCGUGGCCAAAACGUACUAUGGAUCCUUGUUCGAGAUUUCCAUUCAACUUGGUGAAAGCACAUGGUAAUUAAAAUCCGAUAGGCGGUAUCUAUCGUUGCUUCUCAAAUUCGAAGUUCGGAUAAAUAACAUUUCAUACGCAGCAACUCGAUUAAAAUAUAAUCUUGCUAAAGAUAAGCGAAUGUUCGAAUAUUUUUAUCGUAGACGGCAACGAAUGCUUGAAUAACAAUCAUUCCGGUGGAUUUCUAUUCGUCGGUGAGAAUUAUUCAAUUUUUGUUCGUCGAUCGAUUCUCGAUGAUCCUUCAAUGACCCUUCCGUUUGGGGAUCGCCGCGUAUAUUUUCCUCUUUGUGGAUUCCCAUCCACGAACAGGUUGUUCCGUGAUCAAAGGAACGUGUGGACGUAUCGUUGAAAAUCGUGUUGCGUAUCCUGUGUGCUACCGCGUUUUUGAGGGGACACCAAACAAACAGCAACACCAGCUCCUUUGUACCUUUUGAUUACACGCCGGUGAACGAGCGUAACCGAUGUAACAUGGUGCAUGGAAUGUGAUUAUUUGGUCAUCCUUGCGUCGAGCUUAAAAGAGAGUAUGAAAAUGGAGAACGAUGGCACGCUGUUAAAGUUACGGGUAUCAGAUUAUUUCUUGGCGAACGACAUGCAUUCCAUUUCAGGAAAUUUCUCGAAUAAAAAGUAAAGUUGUAGUUAUAAGUAAGAUAUUGAACUAAAACGAUAGAAACGCGGGAGCAACAAAUUGAAUGAAAGUUACAUGGAGAGAUACGGAUUACGAUAACUAGAAAAUUAUUUUUACUAUUUUUUCAGUGAGAUAUCUUUGCUAAUUUUGUUCAACCUGCUUAAAUUAAGGAUGAGGCUAUGAAGUAACGCGCAAAAUAUACGUAAAAGAAACGAUCACUGCACAGUAAAAAAUUUGAGAAUGUGAAAAGUUCAGAGUAUUCGAUUUGUCUUC